CCUACGGGUGGCAGCAGUGAGGAAUAUUGGUCAAUGGACGAGAGUCUGAACCAGCCAAGUAGCGUGAAGGAUGACUGCCCUAUGGGUUGUAAACUUCUUUUAUAUGGGAAUAAAACGUUCCACGUGUGGGAUUUUGUAUGUACCAUAUGAAUAAGGAUCGGCUAACUCCGUGCCAGCAGCCGCGGUAAUACGGAGGAUCCGAGCGUUAUCCGGAUUUAUUGGGUUUAAAGGGAGCGUAGGUGGAUUGUUAAGUCAGUUGUGAAAGUUUGCGGCUCAACCGUAAAAUUGCAGUUGAAACUGGCAGUCUUGAGUACAGUAGAGGUGGGCGGAAUUCGUGGUGUAGCGGUGAAAUGCUUAGAUAUCACGAAGAACUCCGAUUGCGAAGGCAGUUCACUGGACUGCAACUGACAUUGAUGCUCGAAAGUGUGGGUAUCAAACAGGAUUAGAUACCCCAGUAGUC
rnacentral:rRNA from 1 species